GUUCUCUUGUGUUGGGAAAGGGUCUCCAAGGUGGUUUAACAGCUCUUUUCUGGAAGCUGUGGAGAAGAUUGAGACCUUCCAAGGAGUAUAACCUGAGACAUUUGGGCAUUUUUAAUGGACAUUCAAGGAUGGCCACCACUUUGCCAGUUUCUUGCAAUGAUGAAGUAAGACCCAUGACUUGGGACAAAGAAGAGCCAACAGAGUUUUUUACAUCACUCAUUUCAACAGUGCACUUUACUUUGUACUCAAGAAAACAUGAGGUAAUUACCAACUGUAUCCUAACUAGUUUCUCCCUUUUUUGCUAUGGUAGGUAGAAUUUUGGUCUCAGGACUUUUGCCCCCUGGUGAUAUUCCUGUGGUUUACAUUAUGUUAAUUGGCAAGAAAGAAUUUGCAAAUGUAAUUAAGGUUAUUAAUCAAUUAACCUUAAAAUGGAUUCUCUGAGUGGGUCCAAUGUAAUUACAGAAGCCCUUAAAGCAGAACUUUCUCCCAGCUAAGGACAUGAGAGAAAUUCCAAGUACAAGAAGGAUAUGAGGCACUGUGGUUGGAUCUGAGAUAAAGGGGCCACAUGUAAGGACCAAAGAGAGGCCUAUAAUAGCAAGGAACUGAUUCUGCCAACAACCUGGGUGAACUUGGAAGUGGAUUCUUUCCCAGAGACUCCAGAAAGGAGCACAGCCCCGCCAACACCUUGAAUUGGGCCUCCUGAGACUCCAAGCAGAGAACCCAGUUGAACCACACUAUGCUCAGACUUCUGACUUACAGAAACUGCGAGAUAAGAAAUACAUGUUGGCUUAGCUUUCUAGAGUAUAUGAUCAUUGGCUGUAAUAAUAAAAUAUGAUUGUGCCAGGUUUCUGCCUUUUGUUUGAAAAAGAAUGAGCAGUGGAGACCUCCUUUCUUGGUAGGGGCUGACAGGCAAGCAUCUUCAUGGCAAGGUUCUGUGGACACACUUGGUCACUGUGCUCCCAGGGGCAAGGGGGCUCAGCCUCCCAUUUUAUAAUCUAUCUGUGCAGUCCAAUGUAGAAGCCACUGGCUGCAUGUGACUUGAAAUUAAAUAAAACUGAAAAUCCAAUUUCUCAAUUGUGUUAGGUACAAUUUAGGUGUUCAAUAUUUAUGUGUGACUAAUGGCUACUGAGUUAGAAGGCAUAGGUAUAGAGUAUACAGGAUGUAUGUAGGUAAAUAUAUAUAUAUAUCCUAUAUUGUAGAAAGAAAGUUCGAUUGGAAAGCUCUGUUCUUGAUGAUGAUCAGUGAUGACAUCCAGUUGCAACUGUUCUUUUUUCUCAUUUGGGGCCCGGAGAGGUCGGAUUCCUCUACUCACUAGUAGAACCAUUACAAAGCAGAAAUCAUGCAAAUUCUCCUGACUAUAGCAAGAAAUAUGAUUUUUAAAAAACUUUCAUGUCUCCUUUCUUCUCUUAUCACUUAUGUAAUUUAUCUCCUGAGGUUAGAAAGCCCUAGGCAGAGCAUUCUGGGAAUACCAGUGACAGGGUAUAAGGUCUUUCUUUUUUUUUUCCAGAUGGAGGAAGAUUUACUGCAUGGUAAUGGCCAAGAAGUACCCUGGCCGAGACUGCAAGAUUUCCCAAGGGUUUCCUGCUAUAGCAAGACAAAGAUACCUGCUGGGGCAGGCCAGUAAGGUCACCCCCUGAAGCAAACAGACUAAGGCUAUUAGACUUGCCACAGUAUGCCCAAAGGGGACACUAGCUAGAAGAGGAAAAUGAGGCUUAUACUCGUGGCAGACUGAAACAUCCAGUUUCAGGAUCAAACUUCUGCCUUGGGUUCAAACAUGGAGAAAUGAGGCUUAUGACUUCCUAGCCGAACUCAACUGUAAUUGGUGGACAGGGAUUAAAGCCUACAGGUGAUGCAUUUGAAGAGAGAACUGCAGGCCCAAGUAAAGAGCCCAGAAGAUGUGAGUUUGAAUCCCGCAUCUAUAUUGCUGUCAUUCUGUGUUAGUUACUGAAACUUUGUGAGCUGUACGUUUUGUUAUCUAUGAUGCAGAUAAAAUAAUUGGAGGAUAAAACAACCCCAAUUUCUAGGGGAUUACUGUAAAGUUGUAAGGAGUAAAGGAGAGAAUUACACAGACUGUCUCACAUGCAGGAAGCAUGUCAGGGAACAGUAGCUCAUAUUAUACCUGUGUCAGUUCAGGUUGCAUCAGAAAAGGCCAUCUAAUCCCAUCCCUGGUCAGUCACUAGUGUAGUUUUGUCUCCAUGAUCACCUCAAUCACCACUCCUAUGGCCAUGACCUCAACCCUGAUGUUUCAAUAAUUGUAUUGCCCCCCACCCAAACUCCCUACAUCACUCUUCAAACAUCUCACUUUCUCAUUUCUACCUGAAAUGUUCCUCUGAACACCUAAUUUCUUAUAAUUGUCCUAUCCCACCAAGACUUCCCAUGUAGCAUCUCAUUGAGCAAAAUAAAAGCAACCAAAAAAAGACUCUUACCAACACAUACACCUCUCUCCUGGCCUUAGUGUUCAUAGUCUCUGUCUUUCCUCCUGUUGAGAUGGGCAAAUUGUGCUUCUAUCUAAUGUCAGCCUCACUACCUCUAUCCUGCAUCCAGUGGCCCCCUUUCAUAUUCUAGAACUUUAUUCCUGCAUUUGUCCUCCUGCACCAUUGAUUUUUCCUUUUUUACUGGAUAAUUUCCAUGGCACCAAAUACAGUAUUUCUCAUAUUUAAAAUAUUCUUCUUAGACUCCUAGCCUCCUUCAACUACUCCCUCUUUUCUCAGCUCCCCUUUAAGGUAUCUUUUUUUGGUGUUUUCUUAUCUUAUGAAAUUCUCAGGGUUUAAUCUUCAGAACUUUGUUCUGCUACACUCACCCCCAGGAAUUACGUGCAGUCCCAUGACAUUAAACACCUUCUAUACGCUACCGAUCUUACAUGCCCUGUCAGCACCUUUCCUCUGAACUACAGGUCCUUAUUUCCAGCUGCCCAUUCAACAUCUCCACCUGGAUGGACACUAGGUAUCUCAAGUGUGUCCAAAAAUGAAAUGUUGAUUUUCAGUCCCUAACACCCGAAUCUUCCCUUCUAUGGAUGUUUAUAGUUCAAUAAAAGGAAUUCUAUUCUUCAUUUGCUU
rnacentral:lncRNA from 1 species